ACCAACUUUCUCUUUGACUCUGGAAAAAGCUCUGUUACCCUCCAAAACUCUGCUUAUUUGUCUAUAAAAGGAGGAGAUUGGCUCAGAUCUGUGGAAGGUAAACCACUACAUGAAUGAGGGAGGGUGGCGCUAUUGCAGGGAAUCCUCAACUCCACAAGUACCUUGACGUUCAUGUACUGUGCUUUUCAAAGCACUAAGUAACGUGGACAUCUCUUUUAAAAAGAAAUCUAAAGCAAAUCUAGAAAAUAAUGACAAUUGGAAUCUGUUUUUACUAGGCAAAGGGUCAAGGGACAUGAAAUUUGGGUUCAAUGGAAAGAUGAAUCACAUUUUCUAAGACUUUGCAUCUACAGCCAGAAUUUUGUUGAAGGAAAAAACAGAAUCAGUCAUUUUUCUCCAGCAGCACCAUGGCAAAGUCAGCCAGUCCAUCAACAAACAUUGAGCACCUACCCUGUACAGAGCAUGGACCCAGGUACAGACAGGGAAAUUGAGAAAAUUUAAAAGCACUAAUGUUUGUAAAUGCUUGUUUUCCAUUUGCAUCACAAUUCAUAGCCCUGGGGUUUUUUCAACAUGCAAACAUCUCUUUCACCAUCAUGUUCUGUCUCAUGAAGAAUAUUUGGUCACCAUUGGUCCAACUACUCCUCUGUACCUGCUAAUUACAUAGGACUCAGCACCAGCAGAAUGUGGGAGACCAUGCAGAGGAGGUCGGUGGAGGAGGCAAGAAUCAAACAAAUACAGAUGGAUGUCUCCAGAAAGGGUCUUUGACUCUGCAUUUGGAAGCAAGGCCAGCCCAAUCCACAGAGCAGAGGCGGCAUCUCCAGAUACAGGCCGGUUUCAGGAGCAUGGCAGCAUGUGGCCCUACAUUCAUCAUUAUUUUAGGUUAAGGCAUUCCCAGCAGCAGGACUCCAUGAAACAUGCUACCUCAAGUAGUCUGCCAUUUAACAUGCGAGCUCUAUCAUCUAAAACAUUUCCUAGAAAUUCAAGGCCCUACAGGAAUUGAAAACUAGACUCUAUAUUUGAGAAAGAGAUUGCUGGGGGAAAGAGCUGAAGUUUGGGAACAGCAGAAUGUAGAUGCUGGAUCCCCACAAAAAAGAGGAGGAAGCUUUCUAAUGCAGUCUUUCAUAGUGUAUCAGCAAGAAGUAGACACAGUGAGUUCAUCCUACCUCUUCUUCUUUACAGGAGUAGUAGCAGAAGUGGAUGCUAUGGUGUUGAAGGUGUUGGCAUUCAAUGAACCGCCAGGUUGCCUGUUUAAUGACAAGAACAACAAUUAAUCACACUCUCAAACUUUUUCAUUUCAGCCUACCUUUGAAAAGUCUUAAAUUCUACUCAUAUUCCUGCCUGCUCUCUGUUCAUAAAAUGUUUCACUUGGGGAUGGAAAAACAGCCAAAAAUCUUCUUCCUUAGUUGACAUAUUUUAGAAGUUGUCAGGUUCUCAUAGAACUAGCUAAAACUAAAGGAACAGAAUAAAGAAGUGAUUCAUAAAAUGACAUUAACUGUCAGAAAUUCAGACAAAUCAAUUCUGGUGUGCUACAGAUUCACAUUUCUUUUAUUCCUGUGAUUAUAUUGUGAGUAACUAAUUAUGUUGCGGUUUUUUUGCAUUAGAAGCAUUAUUGCUUAAUAAAAAAUUUUAAAUCAUACCA